ACUAGUCCCAACGAUUCUCGUUGGGAAAACCACAUAAAUCUCGUUGUUGUACGUUUUUAUGCUUGAUCGUUGAUAGAUUAAUACGGUGCAGAGCACCUUUUCAAUCUUGUGGCUUAAGUUCCGAUUGGUCUAUUCUUGGGGCUAAUUUACGAUUGGUUGCUGUCUGAAUUUGAUGCUGCAUCUGCUUCCAUUUUUUUGAGUGGUUCUUGCUGCGAUUUUCGUCUGUUUUGCUCGAUAUUAUCGUUGCUCUUUUUGUUUUGUGUACUCAUGUUUGUUGGUAUUCAUGUUCGAUGGUAGCCGCUAAACUUGACGAUGUUUGUAGGAAGUUUGGUCAUUUGAUUGGAGAUUGUCCCAUCCUGGCUCGAUGCGACCGUACGAAGUCUAGUGGAACUUCAUCUCAGGCUGGCAGAUCAUAUGCGACUGUGGCUGUUCCAACUGCCUUGUCGGGUAUGAUGUCGGAGGAUAUUCGUCCGCUCAUUCAGGAAGCUUUGAAGGACGCUCUUCCUUCUGCUCUAACUUCGACCUUUUCCACUGGUAUGAUUUCUCGUUCCUCUCAUACUUGGCACAUCGAUUUUGCUGUUUAUAAUCAUAUGACCAAUGCUCGCUGCUCUUUUACUACUAUAAAAUCCACCUAUUGAUUUAUAAAUGGUUGAUGGGUCUCGUCUUCAAGUAAACGGAAUUGGGACUAUGGUUCAUAAAAAAUUAUCUCUCCCUGAUACACUUUUUGUUUCAAAAUAAGUUCCUAAUCUCAUGUUUGUGGGUGAAUUGACUAAUGAUGAGUGUCGAAUCAUGUUUAUGUGAUUGGGUGUACUGUUCAGGACACGAAAGACGGGAGGGAGAUUAGGAGGAGGAGUAAACAUGGUCGCACUUUUUCACUGGACAGCUAUUUAUGUCAGGAUAAAGGAGAGUUGCUGGAUGGGAAGAAUGCGCGUAAUUUAACUAGACCUGAUCAGAGCAGUUCGGACAUGAGUAUUUUAGCCAAGAAGUUCUUUAAUUCUAAGUUUUUAGUCGACGGGCAUGUUGUUUCAGAUUCAGUUCCUGGUUAUUCUAGUUUUUCAAUGAAAUUUUCAGAUUGGGAUAUGGGGCAUUGUCUUUUGGGGAAUCCAAACGCUAUGAGACUUCGUACUAUGUUUCAAAAUAAAUGUUUAUCAGUAAUGGUAUUUCUGAUCA
rnacentral:lncRNA from 1 species